CCUACGGGCGGCAGCAGUGAGGAAUAUUGGUCAAUGGACGGAAGUCUGAACCAGCCAUGCCGCGUGCAGGAAGACGGCUCUAUGAGUUGUAAACUGCUUUUGUACAAGGGUAAACCUGAAUACGUGUAUUCAGCUGAAAGUACUGUACGAAUAAGGAUCGGCUAACUCCGUGCCAGCAGCCGCGGUAAUACGGAGGAUCCAAGCGUUAUCCGGAUUUAUUGGGUUUAAAGGGGUCGUAGGCGGAUCGAUAAGUUAGAGGUGAAAUGUCGGAGCUUAAAUCGGGAACUGCCUCUAAUACUGUUGAGCUAGAGAGUAGAUGCGGUAGGCGGAAUGUAUGGUGUAGGGGUGAAAUGCUUAGAGAUCAUACAGAACACCGAUUGCGAAGGCAGCUUACCAAGCUAUAUCUGACGUUGAGGCACGAAAGCGUGGGGAGCAAACAGGAUUAGAUACCCUGGUAGUC
rnacentral:rRNA from 1 species